rnacentral:rRNA from 1 species
ACGGAGGGUGCGAGCGUUAAUCGGAAUCACUGGGCGUAAAGCGCACGUAGGCGGUGUCGUAAGUCGGAUGUGAAAGCCCUCGGCUCAACCGGGGAACUGCAUUCGAUACUGCGAUGCUUGAGUGCCGGAGAGGGUGGCGGAAUUCCAGGUGUAGGAGGGAAGUCCGUAGAUAUCGGGAGGAAGACCAGUGGCGAAGGCGGCAACCUGGCCGGGAACUGACGCGGAGGUGUGAAAGCGUUGGGAUCAAACAG